AUACUCACUCUGGCAGUAUAUAUACCAAAGCUGGAAUGACAGAGAAGAUCAGCAUAGCCUCUGUGCACGGAUGAUAUGUAAAUAAUGAAGUGUGAACCUGUACU